rnacentral:rRNA from 1 species
GACGAACGCUGGCGGCGUGCUUAACACAUGCAAGUCGAACGGAAAGGCCCUGCUUGCAGGGUACUCUAGUGGCGAACGGGUGAGUAACACGUGGGUGAUCUGCCCUGCACUUCGGGAUAUGCCUGGGAAACUGGGUCUAAUAUCGGAUAGGAGCCAUUUUUCGUGUUAUUGUUGGAUAGUUUUUUCGGUUUAGGGUGAGCUCGCGGCCUAUCAGCUUGUUGGUGGGGUAAUGGCCUACCAAGGCGGCGACGGGUAGCCGGCCUGAGAGGGUGGACGGCCACAAUGGGACUGAGGUGCGGCCCAGACUCCUACGGGAGGCAGCAGGGGGGAAUAUUGCACAAUGGGCGCAAGCCUGAUGCAGCGACGCCGCGUGGGGGAUGACGGCCUUCGGGUUGGAAACUCCUUUCGCUAGGGACGAAGCUUUUUGUGACGGUACCUAGAUAAGAAGCACCGGCUAACUACGUG